GGGCUGUUAGCUCAGUUGGCUAGAGCGCCUGCUUUGCAUGCAGGAGGUCGCAGGUUCGAUUCCUGUACAGUCCACCA
rnacentral:tRNA from 1 species